CCCUGUACCUAAGAGCAGGAUCAAGAAUAGUUUUGAUCUGGUUAAUUCUUUGGCUAAUUUGUAUAUGGAGGAACACUGUAGAUUGUUUUCGUUGGAUGUGAUCUCAUUGUUCACUAACGUUCCCCUUGAGUUGGUUAUGGAUGGUGUCUUGAGAAGAUGGAGUUUUCUGGAAGUGGCUUGUAGGAUUCCUAGGGAUGAGUUUAUAUUAGCGCUCAGAUUCGUCCUUAACUCCUCUUAUUUCAGCUUUGAUGGCUGUAUUUACAAGCAGACCUUUGGCACCCCGAUGGGCUCUCCUCUCUCUCCAAUCAUAGCUGAUAUUGUUCUCCAAGACCUUGAGGAAAGAGCACUCCAGACGAUAGAGAUUUGUUUACCUUUUUAUUAUCGUUGACGACAUCGUUAUGGCUGCUCCAGAAACUUCUAUAGAGAAUAUCUUAAAUGUUUUUAACUCUUUUCAUUCACGCCUUCAAUUUACGAUUGAUUUUGGCGAUAGAGGCAAAAUUUGUUUUUUUGGAAACAUCUAUGAAAAUUGUAGAUUGUAGGUUUAGGUUUGAUUGGUACCACAAACCUACUUACUCUGGCCGCCUUUUUAAUUACAACUCCUUUCAUCCUAUACAGCAUAAAAUUGGUACAAUCAUAGGGUUAGUGGAUAGAGUAAUUUUUUUGAGCCAUCCAAUGUUCCAUGUAAAAAAUUUUGAGUUUGUUUUCCACACAUUGGUUAUGAAUGGUUAUCCCAUCGAAUUUAUUCUUAGAAUCUGUAGGAGACGUGUGUUUCGACUAAUUGAAAAAAUGAAUAUUAUUCCACCAAGUACAUCUUCGUCUUCCUUGUUACCCACUCGUUCUUAUAAUAUUUUUCCAUAUUUGGGAAUGAUUUCAGAUAGAAUCAGUAAGAUUUUUAAAGAAUUUAAUAAGGUUUCAUGUUUCAGUAUUAUGAACAAGCUUUCUGGUCUGGUUCGUGUCCAUAAAGACGCUUUGCCUCUGAAUCUUCUGAAUAACGUUGUAUAUAAGUUAGAGUGCGGAGACUGUGACUCGUCUUAUGUUGGUCAGACGAGCAGAAGGCUCUCCACUCGUGUAUCUGAACAUAAACGACUACCUUGAGACCUUACUUCGCAUCUCUCUGUCGUACAAGAGCACCGUGUUAAUUACGGCCACGAAUUUAAAUGGGAUAAUGUCAAAGUUUUGCAUAAGGAACAUCUAUUUUAUAAAAGAAUGAUUGCAGAGAUGAUUUUUAUAAAAAUGCAGACGCAUGGACUGAAUUCUCAUACUGACACUGAGAAUUUAGGAAAAUGUUACAACAUGUUACUCGGUUUGACUUAGAUCGUAUUUCGUUUGCGGUUACGAAGUAAAUAUAAACACUGGAUUCUGUAUUGUUUGCGGCAUUCGGAGGUGCACGUUCAUAGGCAUAACAUCUCACCGGAACUCUCUGGCCUUUAUCGAGAUGAUCAUACCACAGCAUCUUAGUACGUGCGAUGGAGUGACCAGUCUCGGAAUAAAUUGUCGGUAGCUUCCAAAAAUGAAACAUUUCAUUGUGUAAAUGAUAUAUUAUGUUUGUGCUUCCGAAUCCCGUAGACAAAAAAUUUGUAGCGACAAUUCUGUAACAACCAAUGUUAACGUUAACUUUUGCGAUUUUUUAUUUUUUGCGACACUAUAACAUUACUUGUAAUCACUGAAGAGGGUCUGUGAAAUGAGACCGAAACGCGUAUGAUAUUUAAUAAAAUUUGUUCUCAUGGCGAGAUUGUGUCACUAUGUUUUAAUAGUUUAUAAUAGCACUAUACAACCUGUGCGUGAACUCUAAUUGUCCUUAGGUUAAUGUUGAUAUACUCAAGAAGAGUUUUUUAGUUAUAUUAUUUUAAUUAAAUAUCUCUGAAAAUAUCUCUGAUUAUCUAUGCUAUUUUUUACUAUCUAUAUAAUUCAAACUUGUAAAAGUAAAGCAGUUUUAUAGGAAUAAAACAGAAUUGUAGGAAUA